rnacentral:tRNA from 13 species
GCCCAGGUGGCGGAACUGGUAGACGCGCACGGUUCAGGUCCGUGUGCCGCAAGGCGUGGAGGUUCGAGUCCUCUCCUGGGCACCA